UACGAAGGGUGCAAGCGUUAAUCGGAAUUACUGGGCGUAAAGCGUGCGUAGGCGGUUUCUUAAGUCUGCUGUGAAAUCCCCGGGCUCAACCUGGGAAUGGCAGUGGAUACUGGGAAGCUAGAGUGUGAGAGAGGAUGGUGGAAUUCCCGGUGUAGCGGUGAAAUGCGUAGAGAUCGGGAGGAACAUCAGUGGCGAAGGCGGCCUUCUGGACGAUGACUGACGCUGAGACGCGAAGCGUGGGGAGCAAACAGG
rnacentral:rRNA from 1 species